rnacentral:rRNA from 1 species
GGUUAAGCGACUAAGCGUACACGGUGGAUGCCCUGGCAGUCAGAGGCGAUGAAGGACGUGCUAAUCUGCGAUAAGCGUCGGUAAGGUGAUAUGAACCGUUAUAACCGGCGAUUUCCGAAUGGGGAAACCCAGUGUGUUUCGACACACUAUCAUUAACUGAAUCCAUAGGUUAAUGAGGCGAACCGGGGGAACUGAAACAUCUAAGUACCCCGAGGAAAAGAAAUCAACCGAGAUUCCCCCAGUAGCGGCGAGCGAACGGGGAGCAGCCCAGAGCCUGAAUCAGUGUGUGUGUUAGUGGAAGCGUCUGGAAAGGCGCGCGAUACAGGGUGACAGCCCCGUACACAAAAAUGCACAUGCUGUGAGCUCGAUGAGUAGGGCGGGACACGUGGUAUCCUGUCUGAAUAUGGGGGGACCAUCCUCCAAGGCUAAAUACUCCUGACUGACCGAUAGUGAACCAGUACCGUGAGGGAAAGGCGAAAAGAACCCCGGCGAGGGGAGUGAAAAAGAACCUGAAACCGUGUACGUACAAGCAGUGGGAGCACGCUUAGGCGUGUGACUGCGUACCUUUUGUAUAAUGGGUCAGCGACUUAUAUUCUGUAGCAAGGUUAACCGAAUAGGGGAGCCGAAGGGAAACCGAGUCUUAACUGGGCGUUAAGUUGCAGGGUAUAGACCCGAAACCCGGUGAUCUAGCCAUGGGCAGGUUGAAGGUUGGGUAACACUAACUGGAGGACCGAACCGACUAAUGUUGAAAAAUUAGCGGAUGACUUGUGGCUGGGGGUGAAAGGCCAAUCAAACCGGGAGAUAGCUGGUUCUCCCCGAAAGCUAUUUAGGUAGCGCCUCGUGAAUUCAUCUCCGGGGGUAGAGCACUGUUUCGGCAAGGGGGUCAUCCCGACUUACCAACCCGAUGCAAACUGCGAAUACCGGAGAAUGUUAUCACGGGAGACACACGGCGGGUGCUAACGUCCGUCGUGAAGAGGGAAACAACCCAGACCGCCAGCUAAGGUCCCAAAGUCAUGGUUAAGUGGGAAACGAUGUGGGAAGGCCCAGACAGCCAGGAUGUUGGCUUAGAAGCAGCCAUCAUUUAAAGAAAGCGUAAUAGCUCACUGGUCGAGUCGGCCUGCGCGGAAGAUGUAACGGGGCUAAACCAUGCACCGAAGCUGCGGCAGCGACGCUUAUGCGUUGUUGGGUAGGGGAGCGUUCUGUAAGCCUGCGAAGGUGUGCUGUGAGGCAUGCUGGAGGUAUCAGAAGUGCGAAUGCUGACAUAAGUAACGAUAAAGCGGGUGAAAAGCCCGCUCGCCGGAAGACCAAGGGUUCCUGUCCAACGUUAAUCGGGGCAGGGUGAGUCGACCCCUAAGGCGAGGCCGAAAGGCGUAGUCGAUGGGAAACAGGUUAAUAUUCCUGUACUUGGUGUUACUGCGAAGGGGGGACGGAGAAGGCUAUGUUGGCCGGGCGACGGUUGUCCCGGUUUAAGCGUGUAGGCUGGUUUUCCAGGCAAAUCCGGAAAAUCAAGGCUGAGGCGUGAUGACGAGGCACUACGGUGCUGAAGCAACAAAUGCCCUGCUUCCAGGAAAAGCCUCUAAGCAUCAGGUAACAUCAAAUCGUACCCCAAACCGACACAGGUGGUCAGGUAGAGAAUACCAAGGCGCUUGAGAGAACUCGGGUGAAGGAACUAGGCAAAAUGGUGCCGUAACUUCGGGAGAAGGCACGCUGAUAUGUAGGUGAAGUCCCUCGCGGAUGGAGCUGAAAUCAGUCGAAGAUACCAGCUGGCUGCAACUGUUUAUUAAAAACACAGCACUGUGCAAACACGAAAGUGGACGUAUACGGUGUGACGCCUGCCCGGUGCCGGAAGGUUAAUUGAUGGGGUUAGCCGCAAGGCGAAGCUCUUGAUCGAAGCCCCGGUAAACGGCGGCCGUAACUAUAACGGUCCUAAGGUAGCGAAAUUCCUUGUCGGGUAAGUUCCGACCUGCACGAAUGGCGUAAUGAUGGCCAGGCUGUCUCCACCCGAGACUCAGUGAAAUUGAACUCGCUGUGAAGAUGCAGUGUACCCGCGGCAAGACGGAAAGACCCCGUGAACCUUUACUAUAGCUUGACACUGAACAUUGAGCCUUGAUGUGUAGGAUAGGUGGGAGGCUUAGAAGUGUGGACGCCAGUCUGCAUGGAGCCGACCUUGAAAUACCACCCUUUAAUGUUUGAUGUUCUAACGUUGACCCGUAAUCCGGGUUGCGGACAGUGUCUGGUGGGUAGUUUGACUGGGGCGGUCUCCUCCUAAAGAGUAACGGAGGAGCACGAAGGUUGGCUAAUCCUGGUCGGACAUCAGGAGGUUAGUGCAAUGGCAUAAGCCAGCUUGACUGCGAGCGUGACGGCGCGAGCAGGUGCGAAAGCAGGUCAUAGUGAUCCGGUGGUUCUGAAUGGAAGGGCCAUCGCUCAACGGAUAAAAGGUACUCCGGGGAUAACAGGCUGAUACCGCCCAAGAGUUCAUAUCGACGGCGGUGUUUGGCACCUCGAUGUCGGCUCAUCACAUCCUGGGGCUGAAGUAGGUCCCAAGGGUAUGGCUGUUCGCCAUUUAAAGUGGUACGCGAGCUGGGUUUAGAACGUCGUGAGACAGUUCGGUCCCUAUCUGCCGUGGGCGCUGGAGAACUGAGGGGGGCUGCUCCUAGUACGAGAGGACCGGAGUGGACGCAUCACUGGUGUUCGGGUUGUCAUGCCAAUGGCACUGCCCGGUAGCUAAAUGCGGAAGAGAUAAGUGCUGAAAGCAUCUAAGCACGAAACUUGCCCCGAGAUGAGUUCUCCCUGAC